rnacentral:rRNA from 1 species
GGGGAUAACCCGCCGAAAGGUGGGCUAAUACCGAAUGACAUCUUGAAAACUUAUGUUUUCAGGAUCAAAGGUGGCCUCUACAUGUAAGCUACUGUUUGGGGAUGAGCCCGCGUACCAUUAGCUUGUUGGUAGGGUAAUGGCCUACCAAGGCUACGACGGUUAGCUGGUCUGAGAGGAUGAUCAGCCACACUGGAACUGACACACGGUCCAGACUCCUACGGGAGGCAGCAGUGAGGAAUUUUGCGCAAUGGGGGAAACCCUGACGCAGCAACGCCGCGUGAGUGAUGAAGGCUUUCGGGUCGUAAAGCUCUGUCAAGUGGGAAGAACUCAUAUGGUGUAAUACUGCCAUAUGUUGACGGUACCACUGAAGGAAGCACCGGCUAACUCCGUACCAGCAGCCGCGGUAAUACGGGGGGUGCGAGCGUUAUUCGGAAUUACUGGGCGUAAAGAGCGCGUAGGCGGUCUUUUAAGUCAGGUGUGAAAGCCCGGGGCUCAACCCCGGAAGUGCACUUGAAACUAAGAGACUUGAGUAUGGGAGAGGGAAGUGGAAUUCCUGGUGUAGCGGUGAAAUGCGUAGAUAUCAGGAGGAACAUCGGUGGCGAAGGCGACUUCCUGGACCAAUACUGAUGCUGAGGCGCGAAGGCGUGGGGAGCAAACAGGAUUAGAUACCCUGGUAGUCCACGCAGUAAACGGUGAACACUAGGUGUAGCGGGUAUUGACCCCUGCUGUGCCGCAGCAAACGCAUUAAGUGUUCCGCCUGGGGAGUACGGCCGCAAGGUUAAAUCUCAAAGGAAUUGACGGGGGCCCGCACAAGCGGUGGAGCAUGUGGUUUAAUUCGACGCAACGCGAAGAACCUUACCUAGGUUUGACAUCCCGGGAAUUCUGUGGAAACACGGAAGUGCCCUUCGGGGAGCCCGGUGACAGGUGCUGCAUGGCUGUCGUCAGCUCGUGUCGUGAGAUGUUGGGUUAAGUCCCGCAACGAGCGCAACCCUUUUCUUUAGUUACCAUCAUUUAGUUGGGGACUCUAAAGAUACUGCCCCGGUUAACGGGGAGGAAGGUGGGGAUGACGUCAAGUCCUCAUGGCCUUUAUGCCUAGGGCUACACACGUGCUACAAUGGACUGUACAAAGGGUUGCCAGCCUGUGAGGGUGAGCCAAUCCCAUAAAGCAGUUCAUAGUUCGGAUUGGAGUCUGCAACUCGACUCCAUGAAGCUGGAAUCGCUAGUAAUCGUGGAUCAGAACGCCACGGUGAAUACGUUCCCGGGCCUUGUACACACCGCCCGUCACACCAUGAGAGUUGGUUGUACCAGAAGUCGUUGGGCAAACCCUUCGGGGAUGCAGGCGCCUAAGGUAUGGCUGAUGAUUGGGGUGAAGUCGUAACAAGGUA